UACGUAGGGUGCUAGCGUUGUCCGGAAUUACUGGGCGUAAAGGGUGCGUAGGCGGCCUGACAAGUCUGAUGUGAAAUCCCUGGGCUCAACCCAGGGCCUGCAUCGGAAACUGUCGGGCUUGAGUAUGGGAGAGGUGAGUGGAAUUUCCGGUGUAGCGGUGAAAUGCGUAGAUAUCGGAAGGAACACCUGUGGCGAAAGCGGCUCACUGGACCAUUACUGACGCUGAGGCACGAAAGCUAGGGGAGCAAACAGG
rnacentral:rRNA from 1 species